GACGAACGCUGGCGGCGUGCUUAACACAUGCAAGUCGAACGGAAAGGCCCUGCUUUUGUGGGGUGCUCGAGUGGCGAACGGGUGAGUAACACGUGAGUAACCUGCCCUUGACUUUGGGAUAACUUCAAGAAACUGGGGCUAAUACCGGAUAGGAGCUCCUGCUGCAUGGUGGGGGUUGGAAAGUUUCGGCGGUUGGGGAUGGACUCGCGGCUUAUCAGCUUGUUGGUGGGGUAGUGGCUUACCAAGGCUUUGAAGGGUAGCCGGCCUGAGAGGGUGACCGGCCACAUUGGGACUGAGAUACGGCACAGACUCCUACGGGAGGCAGCAGUGGGGAAUAUUGCACAAUGGGCGGAAGCCUGAUGCAGCAACGCCGCGUGCGGGAUGACGGCCUUCGGGUUGUAAACCGCUUUCGCCUGUGACGAAGCGUGAGUGACGGUAAUGGGUAAAGAAGCACCGGCUAACUACGUG
rnacentral:rRNA from 1 species